ACUUUAAUUGUCACACUCCCGACCCGAGAUUAUGAAUCGAAGGUCAUGGCAGCCGUCGCAUGCUCAUAGAAAAUUCUUUUCACAAACAUGCAAGGCAUCUUAUUACGUUAUCAAUGAAGAAAAAAUCGUCUUUUUCCUUUGUAGGAUCUUCCAGAUUUCAUCAAAUCUGGGAUGAAAUAAUUUAAAAAUUUUAUCCUACGCUAUUUCAGAUCUAAUGUCUGUUAGAUCUAAUUUUAUUAUCUGAUAUUUAAAAUCUAAAAUUAUAUGAGAAGUAUAAACAUACCUCAAGGGUAAUCUGAUUACCCUGUAGAUGAUCUCAGCACAGCCCGAGGUUCUGAUGUAGCCACGCAAGUGCCUGGCCUCUACCGGUAUCCACUCAG
rnacentral:lncRNA from 1 species